rnacentral:rRNA from 1 species
AGUGAACGCUGGCGGUAGGCCUAACACAUGCAAGUCGAACGGCAGCACAGUAAGAGCUUGCUCUUACGGGUGGCGAGUGGCGGACGGGUGAGGAAUACAUCGGAAUCUACUUUUUCGUGGGGGAUAACGUAGGGAAACUUACGCUAAUACCGCAUACGACCUACGGGUGAAAGCAGGGGAUCUUCGGACCUUGCGCGAUUGAAUGAGCCGAUGUCGGAUUAGCUAGUUGGCGGGGUAAAGGCCCACCAAGGCGACGAUCCGUAGCUGGUCUGAGAGGAUGAUCAGCCACACUGGAACUGAGACACGGUCCAGACUCCUACGGGAGGCAGCAGUGGGGAAUAUUGGACAAUGGGCGCAAGCCUGGUCCAGCCAUACCGCGUGGGUGAAGAAGGCCUUCGGGUUGUUAAGCCCUUUUGUUGGGAAAGAAAAGCAGCAGGUUAAUACCCCGCUGUUCUGACGGUACCCAAAGAAUAAGCACCGGCUAACUUCGUG